CCCUCCCCCCACAUCCAAACUGGAGUGACCCCAGGGUGGGGGUCCACUGGCACCCCCCCCCCCCAGGAACAAGCCCAGGGGGGGCACCCCGCACCUGGUAGUGAAGAUGCUAAGUUAAAAGUGAGUUCAGAGCAGGAUAUCAUUAACUCCGCAGCCAAUCAGUUAUCGUGCAAGGCCCCUCAGGUGGGCCAAUCAGGACGCUGCUGUCACCCACACCACACAAACCUGCCAAUAACGCCACUACACACCCGUGUGUGUGGGUUCUCUCGCGGUUAGCAUCAACCAUCAUAUAAUUAUUUGUUUUUAUAGCUCAUUUUCCUUUCUAUAUACACUAGUUUAAUGAUUGAAACUUAGAGGUAUAAUGAACCAAUGUUUAUAGCAAACCUAACUUGAUUCUUUCAUUUUGAACCGUUAUAGAAGGGUUUGAAACACAAGUGAGUCACUCCUUCAGCGUGAUUGGUCGAUUAUCAAUGCCUUUAGAGUUUUUUUUUUUUUGAGUGUUAAAUUUGGUUGUUCCUGGAGGGUCGUUUGGUGAAUCAUCCCUGAUUGGUGACCCGGUAUUGGUGACCCUACAGCUGAUUGGGUGGUGUGAACAUAGUUCCCAUAUCCCCCAAGUGAGGUACCUAUUAAUGUGUUGCCAUGUGCCACCACAGGUCAGGUCAAGAGGCACCACAGACGAGGUCAGGUCAUCAUGGCACCACAGGUGAGGACAUCAUGGCACCACAGGUCAGGUCAUCAUGGCACCACAGGUGAGGUCAUCAUGGCACCACAGGUGAGGUCAUCAUGGCACCACAGGUGAGGUCAUCAUGGCACCACAGGUGAGGUCAUCAUGGCACCACAGGUGAGGUCAUCAUGGCACCACAGGUGAGGUCAUCAUGGCACCACAGGUCAGGUCAUCAUGGCACCACAGGUCAGGUCAUCAUGGCACCACAGGUCAGGUCAUCAUGGCACCACAGGUCAGGUCAUCAUAGCACCACAGGUCAGGUCAUCAUAGCACCACAGGUCAGGUCAGGUCAUCGUGACACCACAGGUCAGGUCAUCGUGACACCACAGGUCUGGUCAGGUCAUCGUGGCACCACAGGUCAGGUCGUCGUGGCACCACAGGUCAGGUCAUCGUGGCACCACAGGUCAGGUCGUCGUGGCACCACAGGUCAGGUCGUCGUGGCACCACAGGUCAGGUCAUCGUGGCACCACAGGUCAGGUCAUCGUGGCACCACAGGUCAGGUCGUCGUGGCACCACAGGUCAGGUCAGGUCAUCGUGGCACCACAGGUCAGGUCAGGUCAUCGUGGCACCACAGGUCAGGUCGUCGUGGCACCACAGGUCAGGUCACCGUGGCACCACAGGUCAGGUCACCGUGGCACCACAGGUCAGGUCGUCGUGGCACCACAGGUCAGGUCGUCGUGGCACCACAGGUCAGGUCAUCGUGGCACCACAGGUCAGGUCAGGUCAUCGCGGCAUCCUUCCUCUAUUAUGAUCUAGGCCUGUUAGUACAAAAAUGUUUAGAUUGGCACAGAGUGUUCUGAGGCAAUAUUAUUCUCGAUUGCUUUUCUUAUCUAUCGUUAAGACAUACUCAAGGAACCCAUAUGUAUUUCUUUGAUUUUGCUGAUUUUCACCAGUUGUGUUUUCACAAAUAAUAAUGUUGAUAUGUGUGUAUUAUAUGUAUAUAUGUAUUAAUCCUUCCACUCAAAUAAAUGGAAGAAGCUU